UCUGACUUUGGUGUGGCUUCUCUGGUAGCAGCAGCUUUCAGUGCAACUAGCUGCAAGAGGAGCAGCUGGGUUCACCCCUGUGUUCUGGCAAGCUUCAAGGAAAUCCAUCACACCUGGCUGCAAAGCCUGCGAGGUUGAGGAGAAGAAAGCAGGGAUUUCAGUGACUCUGUGCUUGUGUGCGGGAUGUGAGCAAAGCUGGUUGCAGUGAAUCAAUGCAGAGGAACACCAACUGAACACAGGAAUAGAGAUGAAGAGGAUAUAUAACGUCCUGCAGAAUCUUAAUAUUCCAGAAAUAGGGUAUCAGAUUUUGGAUUGUAGCUUUAUCCUGAGGAGUUCAUUUGGGUAUUUGAUAAUUAAAUACUGAGGAAGAAGUGAGACUACUAGCAUACAGAAAGGAAAUCACGGAAAUGGUGCAUGUGUAGUCUCAUUGAUUUCUGAAGUGCUUUCACUUAGUGGGUGACGUUCCUGACAGUUUGAUUACUUGGAAUUUGAGGUGAAAAUGCCCAGGCAAAGAGAUCAACUCAAGAUAGAGAAAAAUGAGGAGCACGUUAGAAUAAGAAAAUUGGACUUUUUGUGAAGAACACAAUUGCUUGUUCAUAUGUUGCUGAAAUGCAAAGAGACCUCCAGGAUGCACCAAAGAAAUGGACUAAGUAGAGAGCAGGAAGAAAGAUGAAGCUUAAAUUAUCAUCAGCAGCACUGUUUGUCAAGUAGGGUAUGCACGUCUGAGGGAGGCUGCAUGUGGCUGCUGCUGCUGACAGAGCCCAGGCAGCGUGCUCUGUGCGUGCACCCCAUCUGGAGGGACCCGGUGAAAGGGAAGUCCUCAGGCCUGGAGGAGGACAAGACUGUUGCCAGCCUCUUGGCACCGGAGCCCACCAGGACCGAAGCACAUUGACCUGCUGUAGCUGUGCAGAAAAGCUGAACUACUCAGAACCUCACUGCUCCAUGGGGGCUACUUGUGUGGUUUGUUCCAGGAGCUCACAAGAAGCAAAACCUCUCACCAGUCAUGGGAAAGGGACAUCAAUUUUGCAGUGUUUGUUCUGAGAGCUGUUUUACCGAAGAUGUGUCACUGAAAACUGGUACUGUGGACAGUAUAGCCUGCUGAAUCUGGUCCGAGUGAGAAACAGCUUUCCUCUAUCAGCACCAUCUCGUCUAUGUUGUAUGUGAAUCAGCAGCACCUAAAAGACAAGAAGUAGUGUGCUUUGGAAUGCACUUUCAGGCUUUAUAUCUUCUCAUACCAGUGGACAGUCCAACGUGCCUUAAGUGAUUGUUCAGAAUACUUUAUAAAAAGAAAAAUAAAUCAGCUGACUGAAAUUUUAAUGAGAGGCAUAGAGAGAAGAAAACCAAACAAAUUUAGCCGUAUCAGAGGGAAGCAAGUUCAUUUUCCCCCACUAGAGAACUAUCUCCCAGCUCACACCUGGUGGAAAGAUCGUGAGUUUCAGCGCUGCAGAUGAAUGUUUCUGGCCUGGAAUGAUUUCACCUAUCUGAAAAGGGAGUUAAGUGUUUGUCAAUUUUGUCUAAACUGCCAGGUUUUCCUAGAAAUAGUGUUCCAGGUUUUCAUAAGCCUGGAGACAUUUUUGUCAUUUCAACCUCGUUUAGUUUAUUAUAUCCUGCCAGCCAUGUCUAGAUAAACUGUAAUGAAGGCUGCUGCCUCCAUUACAAACCCACAUCUACUCUAUCAACAAGCUUUCAGUACCAUGACCAUUAUAAAAGCUCUAAAAUUUGAUCUGCCAUUGAUGAUAGGCAAGUUUCAAUUUGUGGCUACUAGCCUGCACAAAAUGAUCUACAAAUGGCAUGUUGCAGGCCGUUAUUUUGUAUCCUGCAGGAUGGUGUGGAAGUCCUCUCCCUUCCCUUCAAGGUGAAGGUCAUUUCACCAGAUCAGAAAUUGCUAUUGCUCUAACUGACAUGGGGAACUAUACCAGAAGCUUAAUUUAAAAUAAAAAUAGAGGCAGUAGAAUAAUGCUGCAUGCCCAUUACUUUCCUGUCAUUUGACAAAAACAUUAAUUUCUCACUGAGCUAGAAACCAAGACCAAUUCUUAAGAGAACAGCACAUUUGAGAAUGUGCUUCUUUAUUGUUCAAAUUGGUGGAUCAGUCCUCAGACAAGUCCUCCUUUGAUUUUUAUAAGAAAUAUUUUCUCCUUUUUUCCACUCCUGCUUUGCCCUGUUUAAAGCAGCAAAGUGCUUACGGACCACCUUUGUACAGCUUUUAUUUUCACCGGGCUUUCCUGAGACUGUAACCGCUCAAUAUUACAAAUCCAUGAAUCCUAACAUUGAUGAAUCUGGUUCUUGAAAAGCAUGAGUUGCAAUGGUUAGCUAGCUGAUUAAACCAAAAUAAAGUGCUACCUUGAGGGCUUGAAACAAGUGCCCUUUGGAAGAUUUAAUUUCAUGAUCUCACUAAUGGGUGUUUUGUAGGUUCAGUGUACAUCCUAUGCACGUAUCUUUUAAAUCACUGCAGAUUGCAUAUUGGUUUAUAUUGUUAUCACAAAUUAGCUCUACAAUAUCAAUUUCUUUGAUGCAGGAAACUCUGAACAGAAUCGUUUGCAUUUCUGUUUGAGUGACCUGGAGACAAAUAUAAUGAAAUGAAUAGCCUUUUAAUUUAAUUGGCUUCCAAUGUGAGUCUGAGAAUAGAAAGCACAAUACAUUGCACAGUUACUGUAGAAACGGUUGAGGUCAAAAGCUCAGCAUGCAGACCCUACAUCAGUCACCACUGCUCUUGUGCAGUAAUUUUUUUUAAUUUUCACUGCAUCUCCAUCAGACCCCAGGAAGCCAGAUAAUUCAGCUUUAGUAUUCCAAGUGGAAGUGCUGGGUCGUUUGUCACCGGUCAGAUCAUGCUAUGGAAUCCAUUUAAAAAAAAAAGCUGCCAAAAUGAAAAACUACGUUGUAUCAGUGCUCUUGUAUAUCACCAACAAGAAUACAAUCAGGGGAAAAAAAAAAAAAAGUGAACAGGAAAAAUCUGUUUUCUUCUCAUAGAAGAAAAGAGGACAGAACAAGGCAAGAAAAAGUGGUACAAAAUGGAUAAUAGUCUGCCAAGAAAUCCUUUUUCAAAAAUGUCUUUCUAUUACAGAUUACAGACAGUUAAGAUUUAUGUGCUAUUUAUUGGAGCCAGCCUUACUGAAAGCAAUGCAAGCAAAAAUGGAGAUAAUAUCUUAGUAAUAUUCAGAACUCCUACGUCCUUUUAAGUGUAGAAAUAAAGAGAUACAGCUCUUGGAAAACUUAAGGUAGCCAGGGAGCUCCUCGAUGAACACACAAACCCUUCCACACAGUGCUAAAUGUAGAAAAGGGACUUUACUAUUUUGGGACUGGCUAGUGUGAGAUCUGUGCUCCUUUUUCAGCCUGAAUUCAUUCACCUGUAUGCAAAAAAGUUCAGAACUUCUCA